UACUUUGAGCGUGGAUCUCUGGGUUCGUUGGUCAAUGAAAAACGGUGCAAAACUCUUCACUUUGCGUGAAUCGCAGACAUAUUGAACGCUGAUGUUUCGAACGCAGAAAACUGCUGUCGAUGUCCCGGCCGCCUGGGGGUCG
rnacentral:rRNA from 1 species